rnacentral:rRNA from 1 species
GGGUUGUGAGGUUAAGCGACUAAGCGUACACGGUGGAUGCCCUGGCAGUCAGAGGCGAUGAAGGACGUGCUAAUCUGCGAUAAGCGUCGGUGAGGUGAUAUGAACCGUUAUAACCGGCGAUUUCCGAAUGGGGAAACCCAGUGUGUUUCGACACACUAUCAUUAACUGAAUCCAUAGGUUAAUGAGGCGAACCGGGGGAACUGAAACAUCUAAGUACCCCGAGGAAAAGAAAUCAACCGAGAUUCCCCCAGUAGCGGCGAGCGAACGGGGAGGAGCCCAGAGCCUGAAUCAGUGUGUGUGUUAGUGGAAGCGUCUGGAAAGGCGCGCGAUACAGGGUGACAGCCCCGUACACAAAAAUGCACAUACUGUGAGCUCGAUGAGUAGGGCGGGACACGUGGUAUCCUGUCUGAAUAUGGGGGGACCAUCCUCCAAGGCUAAAUACUCCUGACUGACCGAUAGUGAACCAGUACCGUGAGGGAAAGGCGAAAAGAACCCCGGCGAGGGGAGUGAAAAAGAACCUGAAACCGUGUACGUACAAGCAGUGGGAGCCUCUUAAUGGGGUGACUGCGUACCUUUUGUAUAAUGGGUCAGCGACUUAUAUUCUGUAGCAAGGUUAACCGAAUAGGGGAGCCGAAGGGAAACCGAGUCUUAACUGGGCGUUAAGUUGCAGGGUAUAGACCCGAAACCCGGUGAUCUAGCCAUGGGCAGGUUGAAGGUUGGGUAACACUAACUGGAGGACCGAACCGACUAAUGUUGAAAAAUUAGCGGAUGACUUGUGGCUGGGGGUGAAAGGCCAAUCAAACCGGGAGAUAGCUGGUUCUCCCCGAAAGCUAUUUAGGUAGCGCCUCGUGAAUUCAUCUCCGGGGGUAGAGCACUGUUUCGGCAAGGGGGUCAUCCCGACUUACCAACCCGAUGCAAACUGCGAAUACCGGAGAAUGUUAUCACGGGAGACACACGGCGGGUGCUAACGUCCGUCGUGAAGAGGGAAACAACCCAGACCGCCAGCUAAGGUCCCAAAGUCAUGGUUAAGUGGGAAACGAUGUGGGAAGGCCCAGACAGCCAGGAUGUUGGCUUAGAAGCAGCCAUCAUUUAAAGAAAGCGUAAUAGCUCACUGGUCGAGUCGGCCUGCGCGGAAGAUGUAACGGGGCUAAACCAUGCACCGAAGCUGCGGCAGCGACACUAUGUGUUGUUGGGUAGGGGAGCGUUCUGUAAGCCUGUGAAGGUGUACUGUGAGGUAUGCUGGAGGUAUCAGAAGUGCGAAUGCUGACAUAAGUAACGAUAAAGCGGGUGAAAAGCCCGCUCGCCGGAAGACCAAGGGUUCCUGUCCAACGUUAAUCGGGGCAGGGUGAGUCGACCCCUAAGGCGAGGCCGAAAGGCGUAGUCGAUGGGAAACAGGUUAAUAUUCCUGUACUUGGUGUUACUGCGAAGGGGGGACGGAGAAGGCUAUGUUGGCCGGGCGACGGUUGUCCCGGUUUAAGCGUGUAGGCUGGUUUUCCAGGCAAAUCCGGAAAAUCAAGGCUGAGGCGUGAUGACGAGGCACUACGGUGCUGAAGCGACAAAUGCCCUGCUUCCAGGAAAAGCCUCUAAGCAUCAGGUAACAUCAAAUCGUACCCCAAACCGACACAGGUGGUCAGGUAGAGAAUACCAAGGCGCUUGAGAGAACUCGGGUGAAGGAACUAGGCAAAAUGGUGCCGUAACUUCGGGAGAAGGCACGCUGAUAUGUAGGUGAAGCGACUUGCUCGUGGAGCUGAAAUCAGUCGAAGAUACCAGCUGGCUGCAACUGUUUAUUAAAAACACAGCACUGUGCAAACACGAAAGUGGACGUAUACGGUGUGACGCCUGCCCGGUGCCGGAAGGUUAAUUGAUGGGGUUAGCGGUAACGCGAAGCUCUUGAUCGAAGCCCCGGUAAACGGCGGCCGUAACUAUAACGGUCCUAAGGUAGCGAAAUUCCUUGUCGGGUAAGUUCCGACCUGCACGAAUGGCGUAAUGAUGGCCAGGCUGUCUCCACCCGAGACUCAGUGAAAUUGAACUCGCUGUGAAGA